UAUUAUAAACAGUUGUAUAUUCUUUGUUAUUACAUUUUCUUAAGGGAGGGCCCCAUGAUGACAUCUCUGGGCUGGGGAGGCAAAACAUAUGAAUAUACUGGACCAAUCAAAUGAUAGGCUUCAUACAACUUGGACAAGAUAGAUAUUUCAGAGUUCAGCUCACACAUCACUGCACCCAUGUUGAGGAAGGCAUAUAGAAGGAAUGUCUAACACAUUUUAUUAAUUGGGUAGUGGAAAGAACUUAGAGGCCGAGGAUAUCCAGGAUGCACAUGUUGCCAGCAGCUACUAUCAAAGUUUAAGGUAAUCUAGGGAAUACUGAUCCCCCUAGGUGAAGAUCUUCAUAGCUCAGAGUUUCAUGAUAGCAUAAAUUAUGUUAUCACUACUUCAUCAGAGUACUGCU
rnacentral:lncRNA from 10 species